AUUCUCCAACUCUGGCUCAUCUGAUGAUAGAUUAGUGACCUCAAGUAAUUUAAUGCUUUCAAGUGUAUCAAAUGAGUCUCUAACAAUAUCCUACAUUUUGGAUUUUCCUUUUGAAUAGAGAUCAAGUUUUCUUAAAUAAAAGACGCUAAUUGCUACGAAUGAAAAUCAAUUCAUCAUCUCGUUGUACAGUUAUUUUAUUCCUUCUUGUAGAAUGCACAAAAGAGUAAGUAUCCCAAUUUCUUUCAACACUAGAUGAAGAAGUAUAAGAAGUUUCAAAGCCAUGUUUUGUAGUAAAGAUGCAUGUGAA
rnacentral:lncRNA from 1 species